AAGUUUGCCCAUGCCUACCCUAAAGGCACCAGGUCCUGUCUGAUCUUGGAAGCUAAGCAGGCUCAACCUUGGUUGGUAUUUGGAUGGGAGACCACCAGCGAAAUAUCAGGUGGUAGGCUUU
rnacentral:rRNA from 1 species